ACGCUAGCUACAGGCUUAACACAUGCAAGUCGAGGGGCAGCAUGGUCUUAGCUUGCUAAGGCCGAUGGCGACCGGCGCACGGGUGAGUAACACGUAUCCAACCUGCCGUCUACUCUUGGACAGCCUUCUGAAAGGAAGAUUAAUACAAGAUGGCAUCAUGAGUCCACAUGUUCACAUGAUUAAAGGUAUUCCGGUAGACGAUGGGGAUGCGUUCCAUUAGAUAGUAGGCGGGGUAACGGCCCACCUAGUCUUCGAUGGAUAGGGGUUCUGAGAGGAAGGUCCCCCACAUUGGAACUGAGACACGGUCCAAACUCCUACGGGAGGCAGCAGUGAGGAAUAUUGGUCAAUGGGCGAGAGCCUGAACCAGCCAAGUAGCGUGAAGGAUGACUGCCCUAUGGGUUGUAAACUUCUUUUAUAAAGGAAUAAAGUCGGGUAUGGAUACCCGUUUGCAUGUACUUUAUGAAUAAGGAUCGGCUAACUCCGUGCCAGCAGCCGCGGUAAUACGGAGGAUCCGAGCGUUAUCCGGAUUUAUUGGGUUUAAAGGGAGCGUAGAUGGAUGUUUAAGUCAGUUGUGAAAGUUUGCGGCUCAACCGUAAAAUUGCAGUUGAUACUGGAUAUCUUGAGUGCAGUUGAGGCAGGCGGAAUUCGUGGUGUAGCGGUGAAAUGCUUAGAUAUCACGAAGAACUCCGAUUGCGAAGGCAGCCUGCUAAGCUGCAACUGACAUUGAGGCUCGAAAGUGUGGGUAUCAAACAGGAUUAGAUACCCUGGUAGUCCACACGGUAAACGAUGAAUACUCGCUGUUUGCGAUAUACAGCAAGCGGCCAAGCGAAAGCGUUAAGUAUUCCACCUGGGGAGUACGCCGGCAACGGUGAAACUCAAAGGAAUUGACGGGGGCCCGCACAAGCGGAGGAACAUGUGGUUUAAUUCGAUGAUACGCGAGGAACCUUACCCGGGCUUAAAUUGCAGAUGAAUUACGGUGAAAGCCGUAAGCCGCAAGGCAUCUGUGAAGGUGCUGCAUGGUUGUCGUCAGCUCGUGCCGUGAGGUGUCGGCUUAAGUGCCAUAACGAGCGCAACCCUUGUUGUCAGUUACUAACAGGUUCCGCUGAGGACUCUGACAAGACUGCCAUCGUAAGAUGUGAGGAAGGUGGGGAUGACGUCAAAUCAGCACGGCCCUUACGUCCGGGGCUACACACGUGUUACAAUGGGGGGGUACAGAGGGCCGCUACCACGCGAGUGGAUGCCAAUCCCAAAAACCUCUCUCAGUUCGGACUGGAGUCUGCAACCCGACUCCACGAAGCUGGAUUCGCUAGUAAUCGCGCAUCAGCCACGGCGCGGUGAAUACGUUCCCGGGCCU
rnacentral:rRNA from 1 species